rnacentral:rRNA from 1 species
UAGGGAAUCUUCCGCAAUGGACGCAAGUCUGACGGAGCAACGCCGCGUGAGUGAAGAAGGAUUUCGGUUCGUAAAACUCUGUUGUUAGAGAAGAACAGCGCAUAGAGUAACUGUUAUGCGUGUGACGGUAUCUAACCAGAAAGCCACUGCUAACUACGUGCCAGCAGCCGCGGUAAUACGUAGGUGGCAAGCGUUGUCCGGAUUUAUUGGGCGUAAAGCGAGCGCAGGCGGUCAAUUAAGUCGGAUGUGAAAGCCCCCGGCUCAACCGGGGAGGGUCAUUGGAAACUGGUUGACUUGAGUGCAGAAGAGGAGAGUGGAAUUCCAUGUGUAGCGGUGACAUGCGUAGAUAUAUGGAGGAACACCAGUGGCGAAGGCGACUCUCUGGUCUGUAACUGACGCUGAGGCUCGAAAGCGUGGGUAGCAAACAGG